rnacentral:rRNA from 1 species
UACGUAGGGUGCGAGCGUUGUCCGGAAUUAUUGGGCGUAAAGAGCUUGUAGGCGGUUUGUCGCGUCUGCCGUGAAAAUUCGAGGCUCAACCUCGAACUUGCGGUGGGUACGGGCAGACUAGAGUGUGGUAGGGGAGACUGGAAUUCCUGGUGUAGCGGUGGAAUGCGCAGAUAUCAGGAGGAACACCGGUGGCGAAGGCGGGUCUCUGGGCAGUAACUGACGCUGAGGCGCGAAAGCUAGGGGAGCAAACGGG